AAGACUCCAAUUUUUCUCUCCAGUUAUUUUGUAUUUUAUAGCCAAUUCGGUUGACAAAACUACUGCAAAAUGAAUAAGUUUAAACCAGCUUCAGUAUGGAUGGUGAUUGGUACCAUACAAGUGUUUGCUGAACUGAUAGAAGUACAACUGUACAUGCUCAUGUGGCCCUCCCCUGCAGAGUGAAGCAUCCAAGCACAUAGAGAAGGAACAGCGGGUUACAGCUACAACCUGUAUCUGCCCGGAUGGCUGCCCAUGAUGUCCACCAUAUCUAGUUCUGGCAAGGUGAAGUAGGCGAAC